UUUUGUUUCAAGUACAAAUUAUGCAGUAUUCAGUUGAAGGAAAAAAGAUAACAUGAAAUCAUACUCAGGUAAAUAGUCUGUGUUGGGUGUCUUUUUUAAACCGUUGUUUAGUUUCCUAUAUGCUUGUUUCACAGGAACAGACGAUGAACCUUCAUUUGGCUAAAAUGCCCCCAAAAAUCCUGUCUGUUAAUGAAAACUGCCUAAUGGAUAUAGCGACCCAAGUAACAGUGCAAGAACCAGCUAAUUGUAUUUGUGAGGACAUCUUGGAAGCAGGAUGAUGACCUGGUGGUUUCUUCUUCUUAGCCUUUUGCUUCACUGGUGAUUUAGAGGGGAGCUGGAGGGUUGCUUUCUUGCAAAUCACUGAUCUGUUAGAUAUCUUUAGCAUGGUUCCACUGAGUCAUUUAUUGCAUAGCAGGCCUGUAUUUUAAUCUAAUGAGGGUCUUUCUAAUAACUUCCAUUACUUAAACAUUCAAAUGUGGGAAGGAGGUGAAAGUAAUUGGAUUGAAAUAAUUAAAUUAUCCAAUGAGAUUACCUUCAAAAGGUGGUGUGCUUCCUGAAUUGAUCAGUAUUGGAAGCCCUGAAACAGCAUCUGCUCUGGAAGGAGAUCAUUUGGUGUAGUGCAGGUGGCAGGGGUCUGUGGGAAGGAGGGAGGGAUGAAAAUCAUUUUGUUAUCCCAAAACACCAUAAGGAAGGCUGAUGCACAGGUCUUAGUGAGGAAAUUAAUUCUGAGACUUUGCUUGAAAAGAAGCAUUUAUGAAAUUAUUAAU
rnacentral:lncRNA from 1 species